rnacentral:rRNA from 1 species
GGGAUCUGCCGAAUGGRGGGGGACAACAGUUGGAAACGACUGCUAAUACCGCAUAAUGUCGCGAGACCAAAGCAUGGGACCUUAGGGCCAUGCGCCAUUUGAUGAACCCAUAUGGGAUUAGCUAGUAGGCGAGGUAAUGGCUCACCUAGGCGACGAUCUCUAGCUGGUCUGAGAGGAUGACCAGCCACACUGGGACUGAGACACGGCCCAGACUCCUACGGGAGGCAGCAGUGGGGAAUAUUGCACAAUGGGGGAAACCCUGAUGCAGCCAUGCCGCGUGUAUGAAGAAGGCUUUCGGGUUGUAAAGUACUUUCGGUAGCGAGGAAGGGGUUAUAUCUAAUAGGUGUAACCAUUGACGUUAACUACAGAAGAAGCACCGGCUAACUCCGUGCCAGCAGCCGCGGUAAUACGGAGGGUGCGAGCGUUAAUCGGAAUGACUGGGCGUAAAGGGCAUGU